rfam:Enterobacter cloacae S611 EDP2.NODE_1923, whole genome shotgun sequence.
AGGCGCAAGGAUCGCGUGCAAAAAAUAAAGAUUGGAUGCUCAGUUUGUGUGUACUCUGGAGCCUGACGGAUGUCGGCAGGCUCUAUUUUUUUAA